AGAACACUGGCUUGUCCGCAGGCCAUGAGUGGUGAGUUUAUCAGUGAGAGGAAGAGCCACCUGACAGACAGACGGAGGAGCAGCUAGAAACCAGAGGACAUCUGUGGUGAUAUUUCUGCUGUGGAUCACUGAGAGUUACUGAGGCCUGAGCCAUGCGUCUAGCUGUGGUAACUGCUGUCCUGCUGUUGGUGUGCAUUCUGGACACUGUGACAGCCAGAUUUAGGUAUGAUCCUUCGUCAAAAUGUAAACCCUAUCCUGACAAGCCAUGCGGUAGAGGAUGGAGCCGCAUUGAUGUGAAACACUGUGCUAAAUUCUUCUGGAGUGAAAGAACUUUCAAUGAUGCACAGAACUACUGCCGCAACAGCCAGGGGGGUAAUCUGGUUUCAAUCCACAAUGAGAAUGAGAUGAUGAACGUGCGUUGUUUGAACUCACGUGCCAUGCGUUAUGAUCGCAAUACUUUUUGGAUUGGACUCAGAAAAACAGGG